UACGUAGGGUGCAAGCGUUAAUCGGAAUUACUGGGCGUAAAGCGUGCGCAGGCGGUGAUGUAAGACAGUUGUGAAAUGCCAGGGCUCAACCUGGGAAUUGCAUCUGUGACUGUAUAGCUAGAGUACGGUAGAGGGGGAUGGAAUUCCGCGUGUAGCAGUGAAAUGCGUAGAUAUGCGGAGGAACACCGAUGGCGAAGGCAAUCCCCUGGACCUGUACUGACGCUCAUGCA
rnacentral:rRNA from 1 species